rnacentral:piRNA from 1 species
GGAAAAGGGCUGAAUUCUGGCCUAGGCUCC